rnacentral:lncRNA from 1 species
UUUUUUGGUUAAUAAGAAGAUUUUAUUGCUCUGACUAAUUCUUUUUUGGUUCAUCCGCAAGUCUUAGACAAAGUGAAAACUAUCUAAAACUAAGAUGCCUUAGUGCAUCCGAAUUUUAUGUAUCUUAACAAUGUUUAUUUAUUUAUUUUGAGUAAAUCCAUUUAAUAGUUUUUUUCCAGAUAAAUGUAUGUCCAUGGUGUAAUCUUCAAGAUUUGUCUUUGGUGGAGGGUGAAGCUUGCUCUUAGGCUCCCUUUGUAGUGUAGGAUGAAGUUGAGGAUGCAUGCUCUCUAGCUCCCUCUUUAGUGGAAGAUGAUGCUUGCUAUCUAAUCACACAAAUGCUAAUUGUAACAACCGGAGGUUUUAUAUAUUUUUUGUGGGUCUUGUUUCGAUUGACAUUUUUAUUAAUUAAUUAAAUAAAAACUAAAUACCAAAAUAAAAACUAGUCCAUCCCAUAAAAAAAUAAUAAAACUAGCAACUAAUUGAGAUAUAUAUUAAAUUAGAUUAAUUCUUUUUUAUGAGAAGAUAGGUGAUAUGUUGCCUGAAAAAAAGAUAUGUGAGAUAUAUUAAUUGGGAAGAAAGAAAGAAAAGAUAUGUGAGAUAUAUUAAUUG